UGGGGAAUAUUGCACAAUGGGCGCAAGCCUGAUGCAGCCAUGCCGCGUGUAUGAAGAAGGCCUGCGGGUUGUAAAGUACUUUCAGCGGGGAGGAAGGGAGUAAAGUUAAUACCUUUGCUCAUUGACGUUACCCGCAGAAGAAGCACCGGCUAACUCCGUGCCAGCAGCCGCGGUAAUACGGAGGGUGCAAGCGUUAAUCGGAAUUACUGGGCGUAAAGCGCACGCAGGCGGUUUGUUAAGUCAGAUGUGAAAUCCCCGGGCUCAACCUGGGAACUGCAUCUGGUACUGGCAAGCUUGAGUCUCGUAGAGGGGGGUAGAAUUCCAGGUGUAGCGGUGAAAUGCGUAGAGAUCUGGAGGAAUACCGGUGGCGAAGGCGGCCCCCUGGACGAAGACUGACGCUCAGGUGCGAAAGCGUGGGGAGCAAACAGG
rnacentral:rRNA from 1 species